UUUCUUUACGCCGACCUCAGAGCAGGUG
rnacentral:rRNA from 16 species